CUCAUUUUUCUACUGCUCGUGGUAAGUGGCUUCGUGGUCUUUAUAGCUGUUACUCUUUUGUACUUUGUCUUUUUCUUUUAUUUUCUUUUGAGCGAUUGUGCGAACAUAGCAUAGCACGCACUAUGCCUUCUGUGUUGUAGCUGCCUGGCCAGGGCGACUGGCGGAUAAGGUCUUGUGCGUGGCCUCGAGGCUUAAAAGUAGCAGUGGGGCUUUGUGAAGGACAAAAUGGCGAUGGCGGGCCGUGUAGGUCCCCCUUCCUAUGAUGAGGACCUUUUCACAGACCUGUACUGAGCUCCGUGAGGAUAAAUAACUCUGAGGAGAUGGGCCCUGCAAGCCUCUUGCUUAGCCGUCUGUUCAGAAAAUAGCGUUUUCGAAAUGCCCUGAGUUGACCUAAUGUCUUAUUGGGCUCCUGUCUGCAGGAUUUACGCGCACGUUGGAACCGAAGAGAGCUCUGUUGUUGCAAUGUUCAGCCCACAAGAGCUUACUGGUGAAGGAAUGGGACAAGACCCAUCUUUAUGCAAAGCCAGCGUUACAGUAAUGUUCCAGCAUCUCAUAAUCUAUCCUGGGGAAUUCAGCUGCCUCCCAGGGUGAAUACAGGUAUUCCUGAUGACAGUCUGCCUCUAUCUUACAGAGCAGCUUGUUGCUAUAUACCAUUGAAAAGCCUUCAGAGCUGAGAGGUACUACUAACCAAUAACCUGCUUGGCUCAAAGGGCCAGCACCUUCUCUCUAAAGCCCAAGAGGAGUUUGAGGAAAACUAGGUGUCUGUGUUCACUCCAGGCUGAAGUUACAGGUCUGAGCAAAUAAGGUGUAUAAAAAAUGGAAUCUGUCUUGGAGGACAUCAGAAGGUGAAUUUUCCAAGUUCUUGGACAACCUAGCUGUUGAAAAGCUUUCUGGGUUUGGGGGGUAUUUCAGAUGUACCUUAAAGUGUUAGCAGACACAGAUUAAGACACUGGGAGCCAAUGAAACAGCAGUUGAGGGUUUGCUGUGUAUCACAUUUCUGUAUUUUAUCACCCCCUUCCUGCAACAUUAUUUAUCUGGAAUCUACCUGCCCUUUUGUUUUUUAGAUACAAGGGCUUGGUUUUGUUACCCAGGCUGGUUUCAAGGCCAUAGCUUUAAGAGAUCCUCUCACCACAGAUUUCCAAAGUGCUGGGAUUGCAGGUGUGAUUCAUGGCACCCAGACUUUGCUGCCUUUCUUACAUGAUCCAGGCCCAGAACCCAAACUCAGGCACUGUAUAGAUGACCACUUUCGUAAACUACUGACCUAGCUUGUUGCCAAUUGUUGAUUGAACUUCCCAUAACUCCACUUCGUGUCUGUUCCUCUGUAUACAGCCACCUUCUGUUCCCGUCAUGAGCCUUUAGGUCUCCAUUUGCAUAUUGCAAAUACUAUGUUCCAUGUAGGUAGCUCAUUCAGGGCCUUGCUCUUCACUUCAAAAAAGGUUCCCUUGAGGACUGGCUGUCAAUUUGUGUUGCUGUGUUGGUUGUUGAUGAAAAUAAUAAAAUGAUUGAUUACAUAGUCCUGUUUA